rnacentral:rRNA from 1 species
UAAAGUUUGAUCAUGGCUCAAAUUGAACGCUGGCGGCAGGCCUAACACAUGCAAGUCGAACGGUAACAGGAAGAAGCUUGCUUCUUUGCUGACGAGUGGCGGACGGGUGAGUAAUGUCUGGGAAACUGCCUGAUGGAGGGGGAUAACUACUGGAAACGGUAGCUAAUACCGCAUAACGUCGCAAAACCAAAGAGGGGGACCUUCGGGCCUCUUGCCAUCGGAUGUGCCCAGAUGGGAUUAGCUAGUAGGUGGGGUAACGGCUCACCUAGGCGACGAUCUGUAGCUGGUCUGAGAGGAUGACCAGCCACACUGGAACUGAGACACGGUCCAAACUCCUACGGGAGGCAGCAGUGGGGAAUAUUGCACAAUGGGCGCAAGCCUGAUGCAGCCAUGCCGCGUGUAUGAAGAAGGCCUUCGGGUUGUAAAGUACUUUCAGCGGGGAGGAAGGGAGUAAAGUUAAUACCUUUGCUCAUUGACGUUACCCGCAGAAGAAGCACCGGCUAACUCCGUGCCAGCAGCCGCGGUAAUACGGAGGGUGCAAGCGUUAAUCGGAAUUACUGGGCGUAAAGCGCACGCAGGCGGUUUGUUAAGUCAGAUGUGAAAUCCCCGGGCUCAACCUGGAACUGCAUCUGAUACUGGCAAGCUUGAGUCUCGUAGAGGGGGGUAGAUUCCAGGUGUAGGGUGAAUGCGUAGAGAUCUGGAGGAUACGGUGGCGAGCGCCCCUGACGAAGACUGACGCUCAGUGCGAAGCGUGGGGAGCAAAGAUAAAACCUGUAGUCCACCCGUAACGAUGUCGA